UGGGCUCGAACGGCUUUGGAUCAUCCUUGGAAACAGGGACUUCUCGCAAGAGACCGGAGUCGAGCUGACGACAGCCAUGCAGCACCUGUGUUCCGAUUCCCUUUCAGGCACACCCACCUUUCAGCAGGCUCUCGGACAUGUCAAGACCAGGUAAGGUUCUUCGCGUUGCAUCGAAUUAAACCACAUACUCCACCGCUUGUGCGGGCCCCCGUCAAUUCCUUUGAGUUUCAGUCUUGCGACCGUACUCCCCAGGCGGCGAACUUAACGCGUUAGCUUCGACACUGAGAGCCUAGUUGCUCCCAACGUCCAGUUCGCAUCGUUUAGGGCGUGGACUAC
rnacentral:misc_RNA from 1 species